rnacentral:rRNA from 1 species
AACGAACGCUGGCGGCAGGCCUAACACAUGCAAGUCGAACGUGAAGCCACCUUCGGGUGGUGGAAAGUGGCAGACGGGUGAGUAACGCGAGGGAACGUGCCUUUCGGUUCGGGAUAACCCAGGGAAACUUGGGCUAAUACCGGAUACGCCCUCCGGGGGAAAGAUUCAUUGCCGAAAGAUCGGCCCGCGUCGGAUUAGCUAGUUGGUGGGGUAAAAGCCUACCAAGGCGCCGAUCCGUAGCUGGUCUGAGAGGAUGACCAGCCACACUGGGACUGGGACACGGCCCCGACUCAGACGGGAGGCAUGAGUGGGGAAUAUUGGACAAUGGGCGCAAGCCUGAUCCAGCCAUGCCGCGUGGGUGAAGAAGGCCCUAGGGUUGUAAACCCCUUUCAGCGGGGAAGAUAAUGACGGUACCCGCAGAAGAAGCCCCGGCUAACUCCGUGCCAGCCGCCGCUGUAA